AGACAGGCUCAGAAGUCACCUGUGCUGGCCACUCAUUUACUUCUGACAUACUACAGGCUCCAGGCUAAAACAUUAUUGGCCUCAAACAUGGGCUAUGUGGCUAUCAGGUGGGGACAACCUGUCUGAAAACAUAAGAUUGCGUGCGCCCAGCAAGUGCAACUUGACUGAGGAUGGAAAUGGAAAACAGAGUAGUCACACUCGCAGCUGACCACUGCUGUCUAAAAGCGUCCUCUUGGGGCCAGUUCAGGAGAAAAGGGUUCUCUACAUGCCGUCAAAGCCAUGACAGCCUGUCCAUAAUCCCAGUGCUCAGGAAGUGGAGAUCCCAGGAACAAAGCGGCUAGCUAGACGGACCAACCAAACAUGGUGAACUCUGAACUCAGCGAGAUCUCACACGAAUAAAAAAGGUUUUCUUGUGGAUUCACCUGCAUAGGGGGAACCAUUGAAGAACUCAGCACAUAUAUCUCACAGGCCUCCCACAUCUUGCUAGGCACCCAAUUUUCCGGCCUGCCAGGCAUGCCCUAACCUAGUAGUACAACUGAUUCUCCUUAGCAUACAGGACAGCUUGGAGGAGGCAAACUGGAAAGAACAGAGGAGCAAGCAUCUGCUGACUCAAGGACCCAGACAUCCUGUCUGGAGCAUGCGCCUCCCAAAGACAGCCCAUCGUCCAGAGUCUCUGGUGGAUGCUCAAACUAUUAAAGCAAGUGAC
rnacentral:lncRNA from 1 species